CCUUAAACACUGGUAUUAGCAAACAAGAAUGAUAAAGCCCCUAUUAUAAUUAUUCUGAAUGACAUAAAGGAAAAUGCUAUUAAUGGAUGAGCAGAUGGGAAUUUCAGCAAAUGAGUAAAUCAGUUUGAAAAUGGGAAUUCUAAAACUAAGAAAUACAAUGUUUGAAAGUAAAAAUCCACUGGAUAGGUUUAACAGGAAAUUUGAGGUGGCAGAAUAGUUAAUGAAGUUG
rnacentral:lncRNA from 1 species